rnacentral:tRNA from 1 species
GCCCGGUUAGCUCCGUCGUGAGAGCAAUCGCACUGCAAGCGAGGUGUCCCGGGUUCGAGUCCCGAACUGGCCA